rnacentral:rRNA from 1 species
GCAUAUCAAUAAGCGGAGGAAAAGAAACCAACCGGGAUUGCCUCAGUAACGGCGAGUGAAGCGGCAAGAGCUCAAAUUUGAAAUCUGGCCCCCCUGGGGGUCCGAGUUGUAAUUUGGAGAGGAUGCUUCGGGUACGGUGCCCAUCUAAGUGCCCUGGAACGGGCGGUCAUAGAGGGUGAGAAUCCCGUAUGGGAUGGGCGGCCGUGCCCGUGUGAAGCUCCUUCGACGAGUCGAGUUGUUUGGGAAUGCAGCUCUAAGCGGGUGGUAAAUUUCAUCUAAAGCUAAAUACUGGCCGGAGACCGAUAGCGCACAAGUAGAGUGAUCGAAAGAUGAAAAGCACUUUGAAAAGAGAGUUAAACAGCACGUGAAAUUGUUGAAAGGGAAGCGUUGGCCACCAGACGCGCCCGGGAGGGUUCAGCCGGCACUUGUGCCGGUGUACUCCCCCCCGGGUGGGCCAGCAUCGGUUUGGGCGGUCGCUGAAAGGCCCCGGGAAUGUAGCACCCUCCGGGGUGCCUUAUAGCCCGGGGUGUCAUGCGGCCCGCCUGGACCGAGGCCCGCGCUUCGGCGAGGAUGCUGGCGUAAUGGUGGUCAACGGCCCGUCUUGAAACACGGACCAAGGAGUCUAACAUCUAUGCGAGUGUUCGGGUGUCAAACCCGUCCGCGCAGUGAAAGCGAACGCAGGUGGGAACCCCUCCCGGGGUGCACCAUCGACCGAUCCUGAUGUCUUCGGAUGGAUUUGAGUAAGAGCAUAGCUGUUGGGACCCGAAAGAUGGUGAACUAUGCCUGAAUAGGGCGAAGCCAGAGGAAACUCUGGUGGAGGCUCGCAGCGGUUCUGACGUGCAAAUCGAUCGUCAAAUUUGGGUAUAGGGGCGAAAGACUAAUCGAACCAUCUGGUAGCUGGUUCCUGCCGAA